AGUGAACGCUGGCGGUAGGCCUAACACAUGCAAGUCGAACGGCAGCACAGUAAGAGCUUGCUCUUACGGGUGGCGAGUGGCGGACGGGUGAGGAAUACAUCGUAAUCUACUUUUUCGUGGGGGAUAACGUAGGGAAACUUACGCUAAUACCGCAUACGACCUACGGUUGAAAGCAUGGGAUCUUCGGACCUUGCGCGAUUGAAUGAGCCGAUGUCGGAUUAGCUAGUUGGCGGGGUAAAGGCCCACCAAGGCGACGAUCCGUAGCUGGUCUGAGAGGAUGAUCAGCCACACUGGAACUGAGACACGGUCCAGACUCCUACGGGAGGCAGCAGUGGGGAAUAUUGGACAAUGGGCGCAAGCCUGAUCCAGCCAUACCGCGUGGGUGAAGAAGGCCUUCGGGUUGUAAAGCCCUUUUGUUGGGAAAGAAAAGCAGCAGGUUAAUACCCCGCUGUUCUGACGGUACCCAAAGAAUAAGCACCGGCUAACUUCGUG
rnacentral:rRNA from 1 species